GACAUCAUUGGCCAUUGGUAACUGAACUCAACUUCCAGCUCCUCUUCUCUCUCCAAAAGUCAGGGGAAAUUAUGCUACAGAUCAGCCUAAUGGGGGACCCACACCUAAUAGACAUACAAAGGACAAUUAGAAGAGUCGAGAAGUAAAAAGCAAAAAAUGAAGUUUUAUAGAACGAAUGAAGACAAAAAUCUGAACCGCACCUGAAGUGGAGCUGGGCCUUGUCACGAACAAAAACUUACAGUGCAAGGUUCUGCAGCUGGCUGGCUUUAUGACCUUGAGCUUCCACUUAACCUGUCCACACUUCCAGUUUUCAUCUACAAAUUGAAGGGGGUUGUGCAAGCAUUUGACAUUCUUUCAGUUGCUAUGGGCAGUGAACCUAUGAACAUGACAGUGACAGCAAUGGCAAGAAACAGCCGUGAGGUCUUCUUGCCAUCAGGCCAGAGCCUCUUUUCUUGCUCAGACUCCGCUGUGGGGAGCAACCGCACACCAGACCCUCCGACACAUCCUCCGUGUUUCUGCCAGCUCUGCCACUAUUCAAGUUCUCCUGAUUUUAUCAGCACCUGCUCUUGUUCUCCCAUGCCCAGGACCACUAUAAUAGCCUCCUUUCUAUUUUCUGCUAAUCAUCACUCCCCUAAAACACACAACAGGUGCAAUACUUUUGACAUAUUAAAUGUGUCUACCUUCAGAAUCCCCCAGAAGGAGACUCUGUGACAGGGAUUCAAGCAAAAGUAGUUUAUGUGAGGUAGUUGGUUUCAGGAAACACAGGCAGGAAAGGAGGCAAGUGAACAAUAAAAGGAAGACGGUCAAUGAAGGGCACAUUAUAGCAAGUCGCCACUAUGAGAAAUGGCAGCUUCAUCUCUUGGAGACACUGAGAACCAGAGCAGGACCCUGCCUCAGUUACUCUUCCUGAAAGCCUAGCUAGCUGAGGUUUACAUCACCACCUCCGGCUGUCACUGGCCGUGGCUGCUCUCAGGAGUCAAUCUCAGGCACUUUCACCUGCCAAAGAGAGUCCUUAGGGGAAGUGUUGCUACUGGGCAGCUGGAAGUGCUGCCAGGAAAUGGUAAGGAGGUGACAGGCUCCAGGCAGGCACCAACAGCACCUGCAACACCACCGCUCAUUUUUGUUUCUUAAUUGUCCUGUGUCUCCUUCACACACGGAGUUGAUGGCAGCCAUUGCUUCAAAGAAAGAUACAGCCUAAAAUAAAGACUCAGGGUUUUGCUCUGAGUUUCUGAUUUGU
ensembl:lncRNA novel transcript, antisense to DSCAM